GUGCUUGUAUCUGCAGCAUAUAUACUAAAAUUGGAAUGAUAUAGAGAAGAUUAGCAUGGCCCUAAGCAAGGAUGACACGCAAAUUCGUGACACGUUCCAUAUUUUU